rnacentral:ncRNA from 2 species
GUGAAUACAUGAUUGAACCCUCAUAUAAUUUUGGGAAUAUGGCCCAAAAGUCUCUACCCAAUAACCGUAAAUUAUUGGACUAUGAGGGAAAGGAUCUUAUUG